UCGAGGGGCAGCAUGAUUGAAGCUUGCUUCAAUCGAUGGCGACCGGCGCACGGGUGAGUAACACGUAUCCAACCUGCCGAUAACUCGGGGAUAGCCUUUCGAAAGAAAGAUUAAUACCCGAUAGCAUAGUUUUUCCGCAUGGUUUCACUAUUAAAGAAUUUCGGUUAUCGAUGGGGAUGCGUUCCAUUAGAUAGUUGGCGGGGUAACGGCCCACCAAGUCAACGAUGGAUAGGGGUUCUGAGAGGAAGGUCCCCCACAUUGGAACUGAGACACGGUCCAAACUCC
rnacentral:rRNA from 1 species